rnacentral:rRNA from 1 species
CGACCGCUUGGGGAGUACGGCCGCAAGGUUAAACUCAAAUGAAUUGACGGGGGCCCGCACAAGCGGUGGGCAGUGGUUUAAUUCGAUGCAACGCGAAGAACCUUACCUGGUCUUGACAUCCAGGUGCUGCAUGGCUGUCGUCAGCUCGUGUUGUGAAAUGUUGGGUUAAGUCCCGCAACGAGCGCAACCCUUAUCCUUUGUUGCAACUCAAAGGAGACUGCCAGUGAUAAACUGGAGGAAGGUGGGGAUGACGUCAAGUCAUCAUGGCCCUUACGACCAGGGCUACACACGUGCUACAAUGGCGCAUACAAAGAGAAGCGACCUCGCGAGAGCAAGCGGACCUCAUAAAGUGCGUCGUAGUCCGGAUUGGAGUCUGCAACUCGACUCCAUGAAGUCGGAAUCGCUAGUAAUCGUAGAUCAGAUGCUACGGUGAAUACGUUCCCGGGCCUUGUACACACCGCCCGUCACACCAUGGGAGUGGGUUGCAAAAGAAGUAGGUUACCACUUUGUGAUUCAUGACUGGGGGAGUCUACGCAAGGAACCGAGGG